AGAACCAUGCAGAGAAGGACCUUCUGUAUCUGAAAUCUUUACUACGUAGAUGACAGUAGGUAUUUACGCAGAAAGACAAAACAAGGACUCAAGAUCCAGAAAACUAUGACCUGGGGAAAAAAAUCUCUCUGAUGUACUCCAAACUCCUACUGAACCUAAGAUAUUUUGAAACAAAAGCUAUUUGGGGGAUACUUUUCUUGAGGCUUUCACAGUAUGAUGGUGUCUGGAAGUUUAAAGUUGUACUGAUCUUCAGAUCUGCAUUUCUGCCCUGCUGAUGAUCCUCAUUCCUUGAACUGACAAACAGACCAGCAGAACCCACAAUCACUGGAAGCAAGCAGUGCCAUGGAUAUUGUUUAGAAACAACAGUCAGACACUCAGGGAAAACCUUUGCUUCGA